rnacentral:rRNA from 1 species
AGCUGCGGCAGCGACACUUAGGUGUUGUUGGGUAGGGGAGCGUUCUGUAAGCCGUUGAAGGUGACCUGUGAGGGUUGCUGGAGGUAUCAGAAGUGCGAAUGCUGACAUAAGUAACGAUAAUGCGGGUGAAAAACCCGCACGCCGGAAGACCAAGGGUUCCUGUCCAACGUUAAUCGGGGCAGGGUGAGUCGACCCCUAAGGCGAGGCUGAAAAGCGUAGUCGAUGGGAAACAGGUUAAUAUUCCUGUACUUGGUGUUACUGCGAAGGGGGGACGGAGAAGGCUAGGCUGGCCGGGCGACGGUUGUCCCGGUUUAAGCGUGUAGGGGGAGUGACCAGGUAAAUCCGGUUGCUUAUCAACCCUGAGGCGUGAUGACGAUGCACCACGGUGCAGAAGCAGUUGAUGCCAUGCUUCCAGGAAAAGCCUCUAAGCAUCAGGUAACAUUAAAUCGUACCCCAAACCGACACAGGUGGUCAGGUAGAGAAUACUCAGGCGCUUGAGAGAACUCGGGUGAAGGAACUAGGCAAAAUGGUGCCGUAACUUCGGGAGAAGGCACGCUGGCGUUAGGUGAAAGGACUAGCUCCUGGAGCUGAAGCCAGUCGCAGAUACCAGCUGGCUGCAACUGUUUAAUAAAAACACAGCACUGUGCAAACACGAAAGUGGACGUAUACGGUGUGACGCCUGCCCGGUGCUGGAAGGUUAAUUGAUGGGGUCAGCCGCAAGGCGAAGCUCUUGAUCGAAGCCCCAGUAAACGGCGGCCGUAACUAUAACGGUCCUAAGGUAGCGAAAUUCCUUGUCGGGUAAGUUCCGACCUGCACGAAUGGCGUAAUGAUGGCCAGGCUGUCUCCACCCGAGACUCAGUGAAAUUGAACUCGCUGUGAAGAUGCAGUGUACCCGCGGCAAGACGGAAAGACCCCGUGAACCUUUACUAUAGCUUGACACUGAACAUUGAGCCUUGAUGUGUAGGAUAGGUGGGAGGCCUUGAAGUGUGGACGCCAGUCUGCAUGGAGCCAACCUUGAGAUACCACCCUUUAAUGUUUGAUGUUCUAACUCGGCCCCAUGAUCUGGGGUGAGGACAGUGUCUGGUGGGUAGUUUGACUGGGGCGGUCUCCUCCCAAAGAGUAACGGAGGAGCACGAAGGUUAGCUAAUCACGGUCGGACAUCGUGAGGUUAGUGCAAAGGCAUAAGCUAGCUUGACUGCGAGAGUGACGGCUCGAGCAGGUACGAAAGUAGGUCUUAGUGAUCCGGUGGUUCUGAAUGGAAGGGCCAUCGCUCAACGGAUAAAAGGUACUCCGGGGAUAACAGGCUGAUACCGCCCAAGAGUUCAUAUCGACGGCGGUGUUUGGCACCUCGAUGUCGGCUCAUCACAUCCUGGGGCUGAAGUAGGUCCCAAGGGUAUGGCUGUUCGCCAUUUAAAGUGGUACGCGAGCUGGGUUUAGAACGUCGUGAGACAGUUCGGUCCCUAUCUGCCGUGGGCGUUGGAAGAUUGAGAGGGGCUGCUCCUAGUACGAGAGGACCGGAGUGGACGAAUCACUGGUGUUCGGGUUGUCAUGCCAAUGGCAUUGCCCGGUAGCUAAAUUCGGAAGAGAUAACCGCUGAAAGCAUCUAAGCGGGAAACUUGCCUCGAGAUGAGUCUUCCCUGGGGCUUAAAGCCCCCUGAAGGAACGUUAAAGACUAUGACGUUGAUAGGCUGGGUGUGUAAGUGCAGCGAUGUAUUGAGCUAACCAGUACUAAUGAUCCGUGAGGCUUAACC